CCCUGAAAAUGAUAUUAUAUAAAACUUUAACUAAGAUAAUAUUUUUUAUGAAAAUGAUAUCUUUCUUCUAAUCCUUUCCAAUAAAAGGAAUCGCCAGCGACCAUCAGAUCAUGUGCAUGUUCCAAGCUUUUUAUAUCCAAGUGGACUAGAGAUCACUGACAUAACGCUUGCAUUACAGCACAAAUGUGGUCACUGAAUAAGCAAUCUUUAUGCAUUGAGCUUUCCCC
rnacentral:lncRNA from 1 species